GGGGAGGCCUCCCGCCGCGCUGCCCCGGCAGGCUCCCAGCUGGGGUUGCAGACGGGGGCCGUUCCCCUGGGGACAAGCCUGCAUUGCCCGGGCCCUGCAGCGCACCGGCUGAGCCUGCCUCUGCGUUCAGAAAUAAUAACCAAUAGUGACAAAAGCUGAGGUUUUCAGCCUGUAGUACCUUUUAUCCCCGUGCUGUGCUGCUGUGGAAGAGACGCUGGCUCAGGGAAACCUCAAAAGCAGGGCAAGAGGAGCUUAUCUUCAGAGGCAUUGCGCCGGCCGCACGUCCUGCGGGCUGUCCCGGGGGUGGCUGCAAGGGAAAAACCACGUUUGGGUACGUCUUAGGAGUGAAGUCAACCAUUGGAGAGGGCUGCAGAGCACAAGGAGACAGGAUGUAGUAAAAUAAACAUGAAAAAGGCGAUCGGAUACACGAUGGCUUGGAAACUUGGCUUUUCGAGACAAACAGGCAAUAUGGAAGACAAGUAUUGGGUCAGCAAUGGCAGAGCGUGUUAGCUAGGCUUUUUAUUUGGACUUCCAAGUGAAUAGAGGUGGUCACCGGCCAGAGAUGAUGCAACUGCAAAUGCUUCAGCCUGGAGAGGUGUCCCCUCACCUUGAGGUAGCGCUUAAGAGCGGAACUCAGCUACUGUAACAGCGACAUUCUUGUACAACCCGUGGUUUAUAAGUUAAUCCUGUUUGCCACAGGGUAAGCCCCUGCUUUAUUAGUCUGAAUAAAUAAUUGUGGGGACACACAUCCCGCAAAUGCGGGAUAUGACUUCUCACAUUUAAUGGAAAUUGUAAUACCAAUGAGGUAAUUUAA